AGCGGGGUUAUUUUCAGGAAGCUUUCGGGUGGAAUGAACUUAACUUAGCGGCGGACGGGUGAGUAACGCGUGGACAACCUACCCUGUACAGGGGGAUAACAAUGGGAAACCAUUGCUAAUACCCCAUAACACCUUUUAGGGGCAUCCCUUUAAGGUCAAAGAAUUUCGGUACAGGAUGGGUCCGCGUCUGAUUAGCUAGUUGGUGAGGUAAUGGCUCACCAAGGCGACGAUCAGUAGCCGGCCUGAGAGGGUGAACGGCCACACUGGAACUGAGACACGGUCCAGACUCCUACGGGAGGCAGCAGUGGGGAAUUCUACAUUGGGGGCGAAAGCCUGAUGCAGCAACGCCGCGUGAGCGAUGAAGGCUUUCGGGUCGUAAAGCUCUGUCCUAAGGGAAGAUAAUGACGGUACCUUAGGAGGAAGCCCCGGCUAACUACGUGCCAGCAGCCGCGGUAAUACGUAGGGGGCAAGCGUUAUCCGGAAUCAUUGGGCGUAAAGGGUGCGUAGGCGGCCCUAUAGGUCAGAGGUCAAAGGCUACGGCUCAACCGUAGUAAGCCUUUGAAACUGUAGGGCUUGAGUGCAGGAGAGGAGAGUGGAAUUCCUAGUGUAGCGGUGAAAUGCGUAGAUAUUAGGAGGAACACCAGUGGCGAAGGCGACUCUCUGGACUGCAACUGACGCUGAGGCACGAAAGCGUGGGGAGCGAACAGGAUUAGAUACCCUGGUAGUCCACGCCGUAAACGAUGAGUGCUAGGUGUCGGGGGUCGAACCUCGGUGCCGCAGCUAACGCAUUAAGCACUCCGCCUGGGGAGUACGUUCGCAAGAAUGAAACUCAAAGGAAUUGACGGGGACCCGCACAAGCAGCGGAGCAUGUGGUUUAAUUCGAAGCAACGCGAAGAACCUUACCUGGACUUGACAUCCCUCGGACCGCUUUUUAACCAAAGCCUUCCCUUCGGGGACUGAGGUGACAGGUGGUGCAUGGUUGUCGUCAGCUC
rnacentral:rRNA from 1 species